rnacentral:rRNA from 1 species
GGAUWASGAUUCUUGUCGGGUAGUUCCGACCCGCACGAAAGGCGUAACGAUUUGGGCACUGUCUCAACGAGAGACUCGGUGAAAUCAUAGUACCUGUGAAGAUGCAGGUUACCCGCGACAGGACGGAAAGACCCCGUGGAGCUUUACUGUAGCCUGAUAUUGAAAUUCGGCACAGCUUGUACAGGAUAGGUAGGAGCCUUUGAAACGUGAGCGCUAGCUUACGUGGAGGCGUUGGUGGGAUACUACCCUAGCUGUGUUGGCUUUCUAACCCGCACCACUUAUCGUGGUGGGAGACAGUGUCAGGCGGGCAGUUUGACUGGGGCGGUCGCCUCCUAAAAGGUAACGGAGGCGCUCAAAGGUUCCCUCAGAAUGGUUGGAAAUCAUUCAUAGAGUGUAAAGGCAUAAGGGAGCUUGACUGCGAGACCUACAAGUCGAGCAGGGUCGAAAGACGGACUUAGUGAUCCGGUGGUUCCGCAUGGAAGGGCCAUCGCUCAACGGAUAAAAGCUACCCCGGGGAUAACAGGCUUAUCUCCCCCAAGAGUUCACAUCGACGGGGAGGUUUGGCACCUCGAUGUCGGCUCAUCGCAUCCUGGGGCUGUAGUCGGUCCCAAGGGUUGGGCUGUUCGCCCAUUAAAGCGGUACGCGAGCUGGGUUCAGAACGUCGUGAGACAGUUCGGUCCCUAUCCGUCGUGGGCGUAGGAAAUUUGAGAGGAGCUGUCCUUAGUACGAGAGGACCGGGAUGGACAUACCUCUGGUGUACCAGUUGUCGUGCCAACGGCAUAGCUGGGUAGCUAUGUAUGGACGGAWWWAAGGUGCUGAGCA